CUCCCUCAAACCGAAGAUUUCUCUCAAAUCGCUCUUCCCACCAAUUUUCACCCUUCAAAUCGCCCAUUUAGGAACCAAUUUUUUCUCCUCUUUCUUUCUCGUUUGGACGAUUCAAGCUUGUCCUAGAUUCUACCCUUUUUCUCCAAAUCGAUGAUUUACCUCCUCAAAAUCUUUGUUUUUUCUUCUAAAAUCUUUUCCUCUCUACCUCUCAUUUAGUCUCCUAAGCUCUUUGCAAGUCUCUUUUGUCCAAAUGGCUCCCAAAAUAAAACUCCCACAGAGAAGAAAAUCUGUUCGCGGAUUGGAAGAG
rnacentral:lncRNA from 1 species